GUGGGGAAUAUUGGACAAUGGGCGCAAGCCUGAUCCAGCCACGCCGCGUGUGUGAUGAAGGCCUUCGGGUCGUAAAGCACUGUGGAGGGGGAAGAACAAGCUUCGGGCUAAUAUCCCGGAGCCCUGACGGUACCCCUUUAGCAAGCACCGGCUAACUCCGUGCCAGCAGCCGCGGUAAUACGGAGGGUGCAAACGUUGCUCGGAAUCAUUGGGCGUAAAGCGCGUGUAGGCGGUUUGUUUAGUCGAAUGUGAAAACCCUGGGCUUAACCCAGGAAGUGCAUUCGAUACUGGCAAACUAGAGUACAGGAGAGGAUAGCGGAAUUCCCGGUGUAGAGGUGAAAUUCGUAGAUAUCGGGAGGAACACCAGUGGCGAAGGCGGCUAUCUGGACUGAUACUGACGCUGAGACGCGAAAGCGUGGGGAGCAAACAGGAUUAGAUACCCUUGUAGUCC
rnacentral:rRNA from 1 species